AGAGUUUGAUCCUGGCUCAGGAUGAACGCUGGCGGCGUGCCUAACACAUGCAAGUCGAACGAAGCUUGACGGAUGAUUUCUUCGGAAUGAAACUAGAUAUGACUUAGUGGCGGACGGGUGAGUAACACGUGAGCAACCUGCCUUUCAGAGGGGGAUAACGGCUGGAAACGGUCGCUAAUACCGCAUGACGUGUUCGGAUGGCAUCAUCUGAACAUCAAAGAUUUAUCGCUGAAAGAUGGGCUCGCGUCUGAUUAGAUAGUUGGUGGGGUAACGGCCUACCAAGUCGACGAUCAGUAGCCGGACUGAGAGGUUGAACGGCCACAUUGGGACUGAGAUACGGCCCAGACUCCUACGGGAGGCAGCAGUGGGGAAUAUUGCACAAUGGGGGAAACCCUGAUGCAGCAACGCCGCGUGAAGGAUGACGGUUUUCGGAUUGUAAACUUCUUUUCUUAGUGACGAAGACAGUGACGGUAGCUAAGGAAUAAGCAUCGGCUAACUACGUGCCAGCAGCCGCGGUAAUACGUAGGAUGCAAGCGUUAUCCGGAUUUACUGGGUGUAAAGGGAGCGCAGGCGGGACUGCAAGUUGGAUGUGAAAUACCGUGGCUUAACCACGGAACUGCAUCCAAAACUGUAGUUCUUGAGUGAAGUAGAGGCAAGCGGAAUUCCGAGUGUAGCGGUGAAAUGCGUAGAUAUUCGGAGGAACACCAGUGGCGAAGGCGGCUUGCUGGGCUUUAACUGACGCUGAGGCUCGAAAGUGUGGGGAGCAAACAGGAUUAGAUACCCUGGUAGUCCACACUGUAAACGAUGAUUACUAGGUGUUGGAGGAUUGACCCCUUCAGUGCCGCAGUUAACACAAUAAGUAAUCCACCUGGGGAGUACGACCGCAAGGUUGAAACUCAAAGGAAUUGACGGGGGCCCGCACAAGCAGUGGAUUAUGUGGUUUAAUUCGAAGCAACGCGAAGAACCUUACCAGGUCUUGACAUCCGACUAACGAGAUAGAGAUAUGUCAGGUGCCCUUCGGGGAAAGUCGAGACAGGUGGUGCAUGGUUGUCGUCAGCUCGUGUCGUGAGAUGUUGGGUUAAGU
rnacentral:rRNA from 1 species